ensembl:ncRNA ZC477.18 ncRNA
AAAUAGUCUUUUUUGCCGUCUUGGUCGGUGCCCCGAUUAUUUGUCGACUUGUUUGUCUAUUGUUGUGUGUUGGCUCAACGAAUUAGGAGCCGACACAGAAGUGGAAGAAGGUGGAAAAAAA